GAGAUACUUCCUCCGUACAACAAAGAAUGUCUCAACUUUUACUAAAUUUGAAUGCAUUAUACACUAAGUCAUGUCUAGAUACAUCCAAAUUUUGAUAAAUUUGAGACAUUUUUUUUUGUUGGACGGAGGGAGUAGUUU
rfam:Brachypodium distachyon strain Bd21 chromosome 4, whole genome shotgun sequence.